GGAUGGCCUGUUGAAUGCUCUUGCUGUCGCGGUCGUUGUCAAAAUUUGAUGAAUAAAAAGCACAAAAAGACGAUAAAAAACAAGUGAGGUAAAAAUUGCGUCGCUUGUUCAAACGUCAACAUUAACAAUGACAAAUUUUGCUUCCAUGGCAACGCAAACCUGUGCAAAACGAUAAACAAAUAGUUUUCAAAAUUUAGGAGCAGCAGUGAAAAAUUCGCUCAUUUCAAAUUUGUGAAAAUGAUAGUGUUUUAAUGAGUGGUCAGAAUAACAGUUAACUGCACGAUGAGUGGCGAAAAGGUUCUCUAUCGGAACGAGGAUCCGCACGGUCAGGGCGAUGUAUACUUUCUGUGGCAAACGGGUGGAUCGGCACAGCUAAUGGCCACCACUGGAAGCGAUGGUACGGUGGCUAUUUUUAACAGGCAAGGCCAAUUGGUAGAGCGGAUAGUGCUCCAAGGACUAUGCGCAGGAUUUGCAUGGGACAAGGAUGGAGAUGUGCUGGCAAUAAUAACGCAAAGCUCCUCUCAGCUGAUCGUUUGGGACGCAAACUCACGGAAGAAACAAAGCGUCGAUAUUGGUGUUCGCGAUCCCCCUAGCUGCAUCGUCUGGUCUAAACGGGGCAGUCUGUUGGCGGUAGCGACAUCCAGAGGCAAUCUGUCGAUCUAUAACCACCUAACGACGAAGCGUAUUCCGAUACUAGGGAAGCAUACGAAGCGUAUAACGUGUGGAGCGUGGUCAACGGAGAACAUUUUGGCACUGGGAAGCGAGGAUAAGUUUCUGUCAUUGAGUAAUGAGGAAGGGGAUACAUUGCGAUCAGUACAGCUGAGAGAUACUCCAAGUGAUAUGCAUUUUGCUGAGAUGAAGACGGAUGAACGGGUGCCGGGUGAGAAUACCAUCAGUAUGAUUUUGGGAAAGCGGACGUUGUUUUUGUAUCACUUGCCGGAGCCGGAUUCACCUACGGAGCUUGGCUUUCAGCAGCGAUACGGAUCGCUAAUCCAGCAUAAGUGGUUUAGUGAUGGUUACGUUUUACUUGGGUUUAGCUUAGGCCAUGUGGUGUCAAUUUCUACUCAUCCCAGGGAAGUUGGGCAGGAACUCUGGCAAGUGAAAAAUCACCGGGAUUCGCUUAAUAGUAUAGCCGUUUGCAAGGAACUGGAGUUGGUUGCGUCGUGCGGCGAUAAUAACAUAAAAAUCCACUCGAUGUCUAACCUUCAAGAAACGGUUAAGAUUCUGACUCUUCACGAUCAGGCAGCUAUGAAAAACAUCGAUUGGAGCUCUGACGGUCAAUUACUCGGUGUGACCACGUCACAGGGUGCCGUCUGUGUAUUCGUUACAAAACUUCACUCGCUGUUUGCGGUUUCCCCUCCGCGAAUCGCACUACUUUCCAGUUUAGCAGAAGUAACAAUUCAUCACUACGCUCCAGAUAAGGUAAAAUCCGCUCCAACGACGAUUGCCUUGGAGAUUGAGCCAUCAUUUCUGGCGAUUGGACCGUACCAUCUCGCCUGCGGGAUGAACAAUCACGUGUGGUUCUACGAUUUAGGCCGAUCACUGAAUGACAAUCCGCUGCUACUCGGUGAUCGUGAGUACAUGUCGGAAAUCAAGGAAGUUGCGCUUAGCUCGGAAUACUGUGCGGUUCUCUGUGGAGGACAAAUAAUGCUACAUUCGAUCGAAUCCACAAGUGAGGCUACGUUGAAUCGGGAACCGAAAGUUUUCCCGGAUGAAAUUCGGGGUAUGGUUGAAUCGAUCAUCACUUGCCUGACGUUGACCAAUGAUUUUCUAUGCUUCGCAACGGAUCUGGGUAACAUUGUGCACUUUUCUCUGGAGCGCUGGUCAACAGUACUUCAGUUUCGUCACCAAGUUGGCAUAAAGGCGUUAUUCACUGAUUUGGAUGGAACGCGACUGGUGUUUCUAGACGAUCACAGCCAUGGUUACGUGUAUAUUGCCGCUACUGAAGAAACGAUUCGGAUCCCAGAGAUUCCGAAGCAUACCAUUGGCAUUAUGUGGGAUUACUCUCACUCAAGCGUGUUUAUCGCAUUCGAUCGAAGCACUUGCGUAACUUACGCGUUUGUGCGAGCAUCGGUGCAAGGGAGAAAAGUGGAAAGGGUCGGUGUUACCAGUUUGAUUAGCGAUCAGAUUCCGCUUAUGUUGUACGAUGGAGAUUUGUGUCUUCAUGGCAGUGGCGGUAGAUUCACAACGGUUGUGCUAGAUACACACGCGAAUAAACCCGGAAGAGAUGCUAAAGAACAGCUGCAAGCUGUGAUUACGAUGCGUAAGUAUAACGAAGCCUGGGAAUUGUGCAAUCUUAUGAACGAUGUGGAAGAAUGGAAACGACUAGGUCAGUCAGCGUUGGCCGAUAUGAAUAUAGCUUUCGCUAUCAAAGUGUUCCGUAAUAUCGGGGACGUUGCAAUGGUUUAUGCACUAGAAGACAUAGUACAAAUAGAGGAUCUCAACACGCUGGCUGGAUUCUGUGCCUUACUGCUAAAUAAAAUCGACGAAGCAAAAACAUUGUUUGCAAAAAGCGGGAACCCUCUGGAAGCACUUGAAUUGUGUCGAGAUUUAUUGCAAUGGGAACAAGCUAUGGCUUUGGCUAGCUCACUUGCCCCGGACCAGCUUCCAUUUUUGGCACGAGAGUAUGCUCAGCAGUUGGAGUUUACCGGUAACCAAGCGGAAGCGCUGAUGAACUACGAACGCGGUCUCAAAAGUGACAUUCUACCAAGCUCAGCGGAUGGAGUGAUUGAACAGGAGCUACUAAACCAACACGUAAGGCUGUGCAAGGCGGGAAUUUCCCGAACGAGCAUCAAAUGUGGUGACUAUAGGCGAGGUGUACAGUUAGCCCUCGAGUUGGACGACAAGCAGUUGUUCAAUGAUUGUGGCAACGCGCUGGUGAACAGUGGGAAUCUGAACGAGGCGGCGAUUUUGCUUGAGCGGGGUGAAAGCUGGGACAAGUGCUGUGAGUUGUACAUUCACUUGAAGCUGUGGAAAAAGGUUGACAGUAUUUUACCUAAUGUCACGAGUCUCAAGUUGCAGGCAUCCUAUGCCAAAGCAAAGGAAGCAGAAGGACGUUACGCUGAAGCCAUCAACGGUUACCAGCUGGCUGGGGACAUGGAUAGCGUUGUUAGAAUAUACCUAGAGCAUCUUUCGGAUCCUCACAGUGCUUCUGAAAUACUGAUGGAAACACGUUCGAUUGAAGGUUCCAAACUAUUGUCCAAGUACUUUGAGCGCCACGGUGAUUUCGAAUCGGCAAUUCAAUUUUUGGUGCUCUGUGGCUCGAUUGGGGACGCAUUCGCGAUUGCUCAGAAACAAAAUAAAAUUCGAUAUUACGGUGAAGUGUUAGAACAAAGCUCUAACGCAAAACCGAGUGACUACCUAGUACUGGCUACGCAUUUCGAAAGCGAAAAAUACACACUACUCGCUGGAAAGUACUACUUUCUAGGAAAAGAAUAUUACAAAGCCUUGAAGCACCUGCUUAAAGCAGCCUCCUUCAGUAACGAGGAAAACAUGGCUCUCUCACUGGCUAUCGACUGCGUCGCUUCUGCUAACGAUGAAAAAUUAUCAAAUCAGCUAAUCGAAUAUCUUCUCGGCGAAUUGGAUGGCGUACCGAAAGAUCCCAAACUUUUGUUUCGAUUGUACAUGGCUAAAAGGCAGUUCAAGGAGGCAGCCAAGGCGGCAAUGAUUAUUGCCAAUCAGGAACAAAUUGCUGGAAACUAUCGAAGUGCUCACGAUUUGCUCUUCUCCAUGUACCAAGAACUCAAGCGGAACAAUCUUGCCAUAGCAUCCGAUAUGAAGGCCUCCCUUACGUUGCUUCACCGCUACACACUGGUGAGGACACACGUUAAACGAGCAAAUCAUUUGCUGGCGGCUCGCCUUCUACUAGAAGUGGCCAAAAAUAUUUCCCAAUUUCCUUCCCACGUAGUCCCUAUUCUCACAUCAACGGUAAUUGAGUGUCAUCGAACAGGUUUGCGAAAAUCCGCUUUCGAAUAUGCGGUGAUGCUGAUGCGAUCGGAGUUUCGUAACCAAAUCGAUGCGAAAUAUGCUAAGAAGAUAGAGUCGAUUGUGCGCAAGGCACCCCGCGGUCAGCUGGAGGACGAAGGAGCGUAUGAGGCGGGUCCCUGUCCGGUGUGUGAUGCCACUUUGCCUAGUAUGGAAUUUAUUUGCGGUCAGUGCAAGACUACGCUACCGAUUUGUAUUGCUACGGGUCAGCAUAUCGUUAAGGAGAAUGUAGUGGCCUGUCCGGAAUGUGAUUUUCCAGCUCUCAAAGCAGAACUCACCAAAAUUCUAGAGUUUACCGAUAACCAAUGCCCGAUGUGUGGGGAGGAAAUUGAAUCUCUGCGAUUUGUGGAUAUAUCAGAUAUUCAGCCGUACAUCGGUACGGGAACGUGAUCUCAUAAAACCUCUCAACUGUAAUGCAGUGAUUUUGUUAGCAUUCCUUACUUGUACCUUUACGAACAAUUCAAAGUGCUUUAAUAUAUAUCACUGCCUUUGCUCAAAGCUAAGGUAACUGAUUGAUUUCUCAGAUUAUCAGUAGGCAAUAAUUCACUGCCAUCAAUUGAACAUUAGCAACUGUAUAGAACGGCUGAGGUGCUGUAUUCGUACAUGUCGGUGCUUCCUUUAUUAUUCCAACGGCAUUGGGUUGAAUGAAUGCUGUUUGUUGCCGCGCAAAUGAGUUAAUUAUACAAUGUCAGCAGUGCAUAAGAAAUGCAUCACUGCUACGCGUAGGGAAGGUUGAUGAUGAUCUUAAAAACCCGAAAAUGAAAUGAAAAGAACACAGAAAAAGGGAUCACUGUCUAUUUAUCAACCUCCCGCGCCUAAUAUACAUAAGCGUGCCAUACGUAGUCCUAUUAGCUAGCUUUGGUUUUUCCUUCUCACUUACUCUGCGGUUAGGAUAGUAAUAAAAUCUUAGAAAGCGGUACAAAUGUAACCGCAUAUUUUGUGAGCCCUUGGGGGACUGGACUAGGAUUGAAUAGCAGGAAUCCGUAUUGUGGUUAAAUACGUCAGUCUUGAAGAGGCAGGGCCAAAUAUAUAAGUAAACAAAUAGGAAUUGCGCCCUUCUAAGGCCAUAGGAAAUCUACACCGUAUCUCAGGAGAAUAGGGAAAAACUUAAGGACUAAAAGGGACAAAUUUUCCCGUAGCGAUAUAUGAAUCGCGCGGGCAACAUGUAGCUUUAAGAUAACUUUUGUAAAUAUUUUCUGAAUAAAUUAAGUUUCAAAGUUCUAAAA